rnacentral:rRNA from 1 species
UUAAAGUAGUAAGGGCGCAGGGUGGAUGCCUUGGCACUAAGAGCCGAUGAAAGACGUGAUAAGCUGCGAAAAGCUUCGGGGAGGAGCACAUAUCCAAUGAUCCGGAGAUAUCUGAAUGGGGAAACCCGGCAGAGGAAACCUCUGUCAGCGUGCAGUGAAUACAUAGCUGUACGUGGGGAACCCGGGGAACUGAAACAUCUAAGUACCCGGAGGAAGAGAAAGAAAAUUUAUCGAUUUCCAAAGUAGCGGCGAGCGAAAUGGAAAGAGCCCAAACCGUGAUGCGUGCAUCGCGGGGUUCGGACUGCGUUGUGGCAGACGUAAGAUAGGAGAACGGACUGGGAAGUCCGGCCGGAGAGAGUGAAAGCCUCGUAUCCGAAAUCCCAAGUCGCCUAGCAGGAUCCAGAGUAGGACGAGACACGAGAAACCUUGUCUGAACGAGCGGGGACCACCCCGUAAGGCUAAAUACUUCUUAGUGACCGAUAGCGCAUAGUACUGUGAAGGAAAGGUGAAAAGUACCCCGGGAGGGGAGUGAAAGAGAACCUGAAACCCUGUGUCUACAAGCUGUGGGACCUCUUUAUAUGAGGGACUGCGUACUUUUUGUAGAACGGUCCGGCGAGUUGUGCGUACUGGCGAGGUUAAGGACUUAAGGUCUGGAGCCGAAGUGAAAGCAAGCGUUAAUAGCGCGUCAAGUCAGUGAGUGCAGACCCGAAACCGGGUGACCUAUCCAUGUCCAGGUUGAAGCUUCCGUAAGAGGAAGUGGAGGACCGAACCCACAUCCGUUGAAAAGGGUGGGGAUGAGGUGUGGAUAGCGGAGAAAUUCCAAUCGAACCCGGAGAUAGCUGGUUCUCCUCGAAAUAGCUUUAGGGCUAGCCUCAUGAGAGUCUUAUGGAGGUAGAGCACUGAAUUGCCUAGGGGGCGUCAAAGCUUACCAAAGCAUAUCAAACUCCGAAUGCCAUCAAGAUGAUUCAUGGGAGUCAGACCAUACGAGAUAAGUUGGAUGGUUAAAAGGGAAAGAGCCCAGACCUACAGCUAAGGUCCCAAAGUACGUGUUAAGUGGAAAAGGAUGUGGGGAUUCUAAGACAACUAGGACGUUGGCUUAGAAGCAGCCAUUCAUUGAAAGAGUGCGUAAUAGCUCACUAGUCGAGAGUCCCUGCGCCGAAAAUGUCCGGGGCUGAAACACGACACCGAAGCUUAGGAAUGUGUAAACAUUGGUAGAGGAGCAUUGCUGGCGGGAUGAAGCCAUACCGUAAGGAGUGGUGGACUGCUAGGAAGAGAGAAUGCCGGAAUGAGUAGCGAGAUGAAGGUGAGAAUCCUUCAGGCCGAAUAUCUAAGGUUUCCAGAGUAAAGCUGAUCUGCUCUGGGUAAGUCGGGACCUAAGGCGAGGUCGAAAGACGUAGUCGAUGGAUAACAGGUUGAAAUUCCUGUACCGCAUAUAAACAGAACUGUGGGGACACAGACAGGGAAUGGAAUCCGGGAAUGGAUAUCCCGGUGCAAGCGAGGUAGGAGUGCUGUUGGCAAAUCCGCAGCACGAUCUGAAGACGUGACGCGUACCGAACAUAAGUAGGGAAGUCCAGGCCCCUGGCUGUCAAGAAAAGCCGCUAUUGUUUUAUAUGUGCCCGUACCGCAAACCGACACAGGUGGAUGAGGAGAGAAUCCUAAGGCCGACGGGAGAAGUAUUGUUAAGGAACUCGGCAAAAUGACUCCGUAACUUCGGGAGAAGGAGUGCCAUGAGAGUGGCCGCAGAGAAAUGGCCCAAGCAACUGUUUAGCAAAAACACAGGUCUAUGCAAAACCGCAAGGUGAAGUAUAUGGGCUGACGCCUGCCCGGUGCUGGAAGGUUAAGGGGAGAGGUUAGCGCAAGCGAAGCUUUGAACUUAAGCCCCAGUAAACGGCGGCCGUAACUAUAACGGUCCUAAGGUAGCGAAAUUCCUUGUCGGGUAAGUUCCGACCC